AUUGAACGCUGGCGGCAGGCCUAACACAUGCAAGUCGAACGGUAACAGGAAACAGCUUGCUGUUUCGCUGACGAGUGGCGGACGGGUGAGUAAUGUCUGGGAAACUGCCUGAUGGAGGGGGAUAACUACUGGAAACGGUAGCUAAUACCGCAUAACGUCGCAAGACCAAAGAGGGGGACCUUCGGGCCUCUUGCCAUCGGAUGUGCCCAGAUGGGAUUAGCUAGUAGGUGGGGUAACGGCUCACCUAGGCGACGAUCCCUAGCUGGUCUGAGAUGAUGACCAGCCACACUGGAACAUAGACACGGUCCAGACGCCUACGGGAGGCAGCAGUGGGGAAUAUUGCACAAUGGGCGCAAGCCUGAUGCAGCCAUGCCGCGUGUAUGAAGAAGGCCUUCGGGUUGUAAAGUACUUUCAGCGGGGAGGAAGGCGAUAAGGUUAAUAACCUUGUCGAUUGACGUUACCCGCAGAAGAAGCACCGGCUAACUCCGUGCCAGCCGCCGCCGUAA
rnacentral:rRNA from 1 species